CUUCUUAUCAGUGUUUGAUGCUAAAUAAUGCAACCAAAAAUGAUCAAGGGCUGGGAAUGGAAAAAUACUAAUUUGUUGAUAGCCCAUAAUGAAUAGUGGUCUGGUAUAGAGAAGCACACCGGCAUACGUUUGUUUUUUGUAGCCAGACAUCUAUAUUUGACAUUCUAAACAAACUCAUGAACUGAUUCAAGGUUUCCAGACUCUGAUCUCACUGGCUGUCUCAAUCUGUUCCUGCUGAGAUUGCUGGCUAGAGGGGUCUAUUCUGUUGCAGUAAUUAGUGGAGACCGCUGAUAAAGGGUUUUUACUCUUGUUUGUUGGCAGAUGGGACAUUUUAAAUAUUUUUGAAUCAGAUCUGAACC